GACGAACGCUGGCGGCGUGCCUAAUACAUGCAAGUCGAACGCAGUUGCGAACGGGUGAGUAACGCGUAGGUAACCUGCCUCAUAGCGGGGGAUAACUAUUGGAAACGAUAGCUAAUACCGCAUACUGUGUGAUGGACUUGCGUUGUAUUUGCUAGUUGGUUAGGUAAAGGCUCACCAAGGCAACGAUACAUAGCCGACCUGAGAGGGUGAUCGGCCACACUGGGACUGAGACACGGUCCAGACUCCUACGGGAGGCAGCAGUGGGGAAUAUUGCACAAUGGGCGCAAGCCUGAUGCAGCCAUGCCGCGUGUGUGAAGAAGGCCUUCGGGUUGUAAAGUACUGUCAGUGGGGAGGCGUUACCCGCAGAAGAAGCACCGGCUAACUCCGUGCCAGCAGCCGCGGUAAUUC
rnacentral:rRNA from 1 species